UUGCUGUAUUUUUGGUUUUGAUGUUAUUGUUGCUAGUAUAGGAAAGAGAAGCAUUGAAAGAAAAAAGGGAGAGAAAUAGGAGGGAAGGUAUUCUACUGUUCUGUUCUUGUGCAUUUGAUUUGUUACUGAUUUUCUCUUUUGCCAGCACCUGUGAUUUUGUCUGUAUUAAAAUCAUGGGUUGCAUGAACUAUACUAGCCAGACAACUAUGGGGGGCUUUAGUUAAUUAAUUGUAACAUAUGCUACAUAUUUGGAACCAAGGAUCAAUUAACAAGACAUUAGUUUUGGGGUGAUUCAGUCAGCAACCAAUUAAUCUUUCAAAAGAAAAACAGAACUGAGAAGUGGGUUUUGGUCAUAACGGAACAUUGGAAUUUACAUAUAUUGAAAGCAGAGUAGUCGUAGCUAGGCAUCAUUGUUUUACAUAUGCACUUACCUAAGUAAUUUUGUCAUCAUUGUUUUAAUUACUAGCUAGCUUGAAAUUUUGGUUUACAGUUUAGGUCAUCAGGGGAUUCUAUUGCCUAUGUAGUGGUUGAUGCCAAGUAACAAGUGCGUAUAUUACAUAUUGGCUCCGUGGAUGUGCUUAAAAUAGGAAUAUAAACAUAUGUUUACCUUUGUCCUUGGGAUCUACACUCUUGUUGUUUCAGAGGCUUUAUCAGAAAAUUGCAAGUAACACGCAAUGCUUUUGCUAUUUUGCACAAAUUUCCAAUAAUUGGAUAGUGGCCACUCGUUAUUUAUCUUCAGGCUUGCUUACAGUAAGAAGGGCCCUACUCCUAGGACAAUUAAUGAUGAAGCGGCAAAAGAUGAGUUGGAGAAACUUGAGUAGAUGGAGGGGGAUGCAGGCCGGAAGAUGAUGAAUACACAACCAUGGAGGAGCAAGAAAUGCUGCAGAGGUACAAAGUCCAUUGUUGAAUGUUUUGGUUUGGAUGCAAAUAAGUGUGGAAGCUAGAAGUAAUAGGACUAACAAGAAUAAUAUGAUGUGCUGGUGUAAUUAAAUUCACUUGUUGACCAUAUUGGCAUGCUCGGGAUUUUGAUGCUUUGGGCAGCUUUUGAGAGAAUGAAAAGGAAAUUAAUUGGAAAUGGGAAAAGAAAAAAAAAACCAUAAAUGUUUUAAAGGCACGGAUGGAGGAUGGGAUAUAUUAUAAAACAAUAAAAUAAUAUAAAGGCACUGAUAUCUGUACCUAGGCAAUGCAUUAGUUACGGAUGUAUUUGGAAUUGAUGUACGCGUAUUGGGUGCUAGGAAUAUGGGACCCAUUGCAAAAAUUAGGUACGGAGGUUUAUAAUCAGUGACAUAAUAUCAAUA